AUUCCACAGGCGUUUGCUGUGCACCUCUUGUGCACCAAAUUCGAUGCUAGGCGCUGGGAAUUCAGCAGUGAGCAAAAGAGAAGGAAGGACCUGGUGAAAAAGAUAAAAAGACAGAGAGGCAGUCAGGCGGUGACCACACGGUGGGAGGCCACUGCACAGGCAGAGGCGUUUCAGGGUAUAUGGACGGGAGCCAGGUAGUUAUGGAAGGCUUCCUGGAGGAAGUGGCACCUGCUCAGAGGCCUGAAAGAGGAAUGGGCCUUGUUGUGGGGAGAGGCAGGUUGGGUACUCCAGGUAGAAGGAGCGGCAGGUGCAAAGGCUUGGCGGUGAGAAGACAGGGCACACGGCAAGGACUGAAAGCACAGCAGAGAAGCAUCGCAUGAACUUUCAAUCCUCAGGGUGACUCUGACGAUUAAAGACGCAUAUUUUUGAUCCCAUGAGGACCCUAAACGCAAGCCAGCGACUUUAUCUGGUGCUCAACUGAAGAUAUAGCCACAUUUUCCCACAUUGGAGGAAGACUGUUUUGGACUUACUGAGAGGUACUAAGUCCGGGUACUGUACCUAUGAGUGACUGAAGACAUUUUCAAGGGGUCGUCUGGACUUAGCACAUUUAUCUCCUUCACUCCGACCUUAAGACAACCCCCACUGUGAAGGACAGGAUGCCAGGACAGGGGCACCUGCCUGAGUCAUUUGGAGGAUGAGCCGUGAGACUGGGAAGAUAGGGAGAACUGAUGGUAAAGUGAAGGCUGAAACCAGCCCCUAGUGGCAAAGCAUG
rnacentral:lncRNA from 1 species